rnacentral:rRNA from 1 species
AAACUGGAGAUGGCGACCGGCGCACGGGUGAGUAACACGUAUCCAACCUGUCGAUAACUCGGGGAUAGCCUUUCGAAAGAAAGAUUAAUACCCGAUGGCAUAAUAGAACCGCAUGGUUUGAUUAUUAAAGAAUUUCGGUUAUCGAUGGGGAUGCGUUCCAUUAGGCAGUUGGUGGGGUAACGGCCCACCAAACCUUCGAUGGAUAGGGGUUCUGAGAGGAAGGUCCCCCACAUUGGAACUGAGACACGGUCCAA